UCGACUCGUCGCCCGCGUGGAGAUAGUGUCCAUCCCCGAGCUCCAGGCUACUUGUACACAACGUGUUUGUGGUAUUGCCUAAAUGCCCAACUCAAGUGCUGAAGUGGGGAAAAUUCUUUGGAUGCCCAACUCGAGCUGAGAAAUGCUUCCACAUCUGCAUAUUUGGAUGAUUGAACUAUCUACGGUUUUGUGAAUAGUGCUUUUGAAACAAUGUUGUCAUGGCUGGGAUUAAAGUUCUAGCGAUAUAGAUAGAAAUGUUGCUCAAGAUGCUCGAAGGAAUUCAUAACAAUCAAGUUUACAAGGAUUCAACUCCAACAGAUACUGUAAGCUCACAUGCCUGUCUAGAGAACUUUACCCUUCAAUUUUGGGACUUCGGCGGUCUAAGUUCGUAUCCAUUUUCCUGAUGUCAAGUUUUGUAUUAGCUUAGAUUUUUCGUAGUUGAAUAUGUAACAGGUUCUAACUUGUGCCAACGAUUAUUAUUUGCUUGCUGUUGUGGAAACAAACGUUUAUUUAGGCCCUUCUAACCCCCAAGACGCAUUUUUAUUGUGUCUUGUUCUUUCCUAUACAGAGUAUAAUCGAGGUACCCACUCUCUGGUAAUUGCAAAUGUAUGCCUGACAGCUAGGUUAUGCUUGGAGGCAUGAUGUCUCUGUUAAUCCCCCAUAUAAUUUAUAUGAUAUACUCCCAUAGUAGAAAUUAUGUGCAUAACGAUUUGUAAGGUAAAAGGGAAAUUGGUUCUCACAUGUUUUGGUAGUUCGAGGGUUAAACAAUGCUUUUCGUUACAACUCUGGUUUUGUGCUAGUAUCUCCAUUACUAUGUUGGUAUUCAGCUAAUUGUUGAUGGUUGUUGUAUGCAUAUUGAUAUGUCGUACAAGAUAUAUAUGAUGUUUAGGUAAGAUGUCGGGUUUCUCUUCUUUUUCCUUUAUGAGCUUUGCGAUACUCUGGUUGUAAUUGCAUCUAGGCUUUGGUUGUUUGAGGUUCUUAGGCUAGUAUAUUUAUGUACUAAGGUUAAUCCUUUCCUGUACAAGUACGUUUCUAAAUGUUACUCUGAGUCUCUUAUUCUAGCAGAGUACCAACCUGGUCACUUUGUGAAUACAUCUAUUGCUGGCAUGUCCAUCUCCACUGAUCCCUGCCAAACUGAGACAUCAAAUUCGAAUUUCAGCAACAACAGAAACAUGUUAGUGCUCAGAGUACUAGAUGUGCUUCAUUAUCUAGGUUCAGAUUGUUAGGAGAAGAGUCAGAGCCCAAGGAACCAUGAGUUUGGCCAAAUGUCUGAAUUAGUUGAUGCACCUUUGUUUAAGAGUAAUAGUACAGUGCUUAACAUCUGAACUUUGUGGUUCCUAACAAAGCCGGUAGGACU